rnacentral:other from 1 species
GCAGGGCUGCGGGGUGCGUCAGGAGCAUUACGACCCGGGGGCCUAUAAGAUCCGCUAGGGAGCUGUCCCUGACCGGGGUCGUGGCCCCGGACAUACGGCGCCCACCUACACUUGUAGGGCCAGCGGGAUCGACCGCUCCAACGGCCCAGGCGGCUCUGCA